rnacentral:rRNA from 1 species
UUGCCCUAGUAACGGCGAGUGAAGCGGCAACAGCUCAAAUUUGAAAGCUAGCCUUCGGGUUCGCAUUGUAAUUUGUAGAGGAUGAUUUGGGGAAGCCGCCUGUCUAAGUUCCUUGGAACAGGACGUCAUAGAGGGUGAGAAUCCCGUAUGUGACAGGAAAUGGCACCCUAUGUAAAUCUCCUUCGACGAGUCGAGUUGUUUGGGAAUGCAGCUCUAAAUGGGAGGUAAAUUUCUUCUAAAGCUAAAUAUUGGCGAGAGACCGAUAGCGCACAAGUAGAGUGAUCGAAAGAUGAAAAGCACUUUGGAAAGAGAGUUAAAAAGCACGUGAAAUUGUUGAAAGGGAAGCGCUUGCAAUCAGACUUGUUUAAACUGUUCGGCCGGUCUUCUGACCGGUUUACUCAGUUUGGACAGGCCAGCAUCAGUUUCGGCGGCCGGAUAAAGGCUCUGGGAAUGUGGCCUCCACUUCGGUGGAGGUGUUAUAGCCCAGGGUGUAAUACGGCCAGCCGGGACUGAGGUCCGCGCUUCGGCUAGGAUGCUGGCGUAAUGGUUGUAAGCGACCCGUCUUGAAACACGGACCAAGGAGUCUAACAUCUAUGCGAGUGUUCGGGUGUCAAACCCCUGCGCGUAAUGAAAGUGAACGGAGGUGGGAACCCGCAAGGGUGCACCAUCGACCGAUCCUGAUGUCUUCGGAUGGAUUUGAGUAAGAGCAUAGCUGUUGGGACCCGAAAGAUGGUGAACUAUGCCUGAAUAGGGUGAAGCCAGAGGAAACUCUGGUGGAGGCUCGCAGCGGUUCUGACGUGCAAAUCGAUCGUCAAAUUUGGGUAUAGGGGCGAAAGACUG